AACGUAGGACGCAAGCGUUAUCCGGAGUUACUGGGCGUAAAGCGCGGGCAGGCGGUCUUGCCAGUCUGAUGUGAAAUCUCCUCGCUCAACGGGGAGCAGCCAUUGGAAACUACAAGACUGGAGUCUGGCAGAGGUAGGCGGAAUUCCGGGUGGAGUGGUGAAAUGCGUAGAGAUCCGGAGGAACACCAGUGGCGAAGGCGGCCACCUGGGCUGUACCUGACGCUCAAACACGAAAGCUAGGGGAGCGAACGGG
rnacentral:rRNA from 1 species